UAAUACAGAGGUCUCGAGCGUUAAUCGGAAUCACUGGGCUUAAAGCGUACGUAGGCGGAUCUGCAGGCAUCGUGUGAAAUCCCAGGGCUCAACCCUGGAACUGCACGGUGAACCGCAGGUCUUGAGGCAAGUAGGGGCUGUCGGAACGCUCGGUGGAGUGGUGAAAUGCGUUGAUAUCGAGCGGAACGCCGAAGGUGAAGACAGGCAGCUGGGCUUGCACUGACGCUGAGGUACGAAAGCGUGGGUAGUGAACGGGAUUAGAUACCCCGGUAAUCCACGCCGUAAACGAUGUGCACUAGAUCGAGGGUGGCUCUGACGUCAUUCUUGGUCGAAGAAAAAUUGAUAAGUGCACCGCCUGGGGAGUACGGUCGCAAGGCUA
rnacentral:rRNA from 1 species